rnacentral:rRNA from 1 species
ACAAUUGGCGGCAUGCUAUACAUGCAAGUCGAGCGGACAGAAGGGAGCUUGCUCCCGGAUGUUAGCGGCGGACGGGUGAGUAACACGUGGGUAACCUGCCUGUAAGACUGGGAUAACUCCGGGAAACCGGAGCUAAUACCGGAUAGUUCCUUGAACCGCAUGGUUCAAGGAUGAAAGACGGUUUCGGCUGUCACUUACAGAUGGACCCGCGGCGCAUUAGCUAGUUGGUGAGGUAACGGCUCACCAAGGCGACGAUGCGUAGCCGACCUGAGAGGGUGAUCGGCCACACUGGGACUGAGACACGGCCCAGACUCCUACGGGAGGCAGCAGUAGGGAAUCUUCCGCAAUGGACGAAAGUCUGACGGAGCAACGCCGCGUGAGUGAUGAAGGUUUUCGGAUCGUAAAGCUCUGUUGUUAGGGAAGAACAAGUGCAAGAGUAACUGCUUGCACCUUGACGGUACCUAACCAGAAAGCCACGGCUAACUACGUGCCAGCAGCCGCGGUAAUACGUAGGUGGCAAGCGUUGUCCGGAAUUAUUGGGCGUAAAGGGCUCGCAGGCGGUUUCUUAAGUCUGAUGUGAAAGCCCCCGGCUCAACCGGGGAGGGUCAUUGGAAACUGGGAAACUUGAGUGCAGAAGAGGAGAGUGGAAUUCCACGUGUAGCGGUGAAAUGCGUAGAGAUGUGGAGGAACACCAGUGGCGAAGGCGACUCUCUGGUCUGUAACUGACGCUGAGGAGCGAAAGCGUGGGGAGCGAACAGGAUUAGAUACCCUGGUAGUCCACGCCGUAAACGAUGAGUGCU